rnacentral:lncRNA from 1 species
CUCUGUAAUGAGAUGUGAAAAGAGAGAAUUGAUGUCCCUGACUAACAGCAUCAGACCUUUUGACACCUGCUUGACCAGGAUUUGGAUAAAAGGAGAAUUUCUGCAGGAAAAUAACUCUUAGAAAAGAAACUUAGGAAUACAGAGUAAGCAUUUCUUCCUGGAAGCCUUGUGUGAGAGACAUAAAGACAGUCUCAGAUUCUUACUCACAAGCAGUCAAAGGCUGCACCUCUGAAAUAAAAAGGGACACACAGAUGUAAGGAGUUAGUCCUUGCUCCAGAGGAUUUGACAGAGUGGCUGAUGUCAAGGAGAACAAGGAUGCAGAAGAAACUCAAGAUGUAUGUAUUAAAACAAAAGAACAAUAACCUGAAGGGACCAUGAUUCUGUUAUUGUAUAUAACACAAGGAAAUGCCCCAGAUUCUCCUUUAAAAGAUAUAAUGUACAUAUUAAGUAUACUAGCCUUUAUAGUUACUGCUAUCUACAUGUUUAUCAAAAUAAAAGACUAUUUUUUUCUAAA